UGACAACCUGAGAAGAAGUGAAGUGCGUCGUGUAAUAAUCAAAAUUAAGAAUCUCAGGGUCGCAAGUUAAAAGUAUUAGACCAGCAAGUAAAGAGUCUAAGAAAUAAAAUCACAGAAAGUGAAAAAAGUAAAAUCUAUAGUACGGCUUUUUAUUAGUCAAUGUAAAAAGUGUUAAAAUAGUGCGCGGAUAAACGAAUAGACAAGAAAAAGGUUCCGACUAUUUCGUUCGACCGUGUAAGGUACAACCAAAGCCAGUGGUUCCACAGCGUCGACGCAAGGACUAUGAUUCCGAUGGAAUAACUCUCGGUCUAGUGGAAGUGUAGUGAUGAUUUUCAUUGUGGUGGUA